rnacentral:rRNA from 1 species
GAUGAACGCUGGCGGCGUGCUUAACACAUGCAAGUCGAACGAAGUGGAUGUCUUCGGACUGAAACUUAGUGGCGGACGGGUGAGUAACGCGUAUCCAACCUUCCCGUUACUCUUGGAUAGCCUUCCGAAAGGGAGAUUAAUACAAGAUGGUAUUCAAAUUCCGCAUGUUAUUUGAAUUAAAGAUUUAUCGGUAACGGAUGGGGAUGCGUGACAUUAGAUAGUAGGCGGGGUAACGGCCCACCUAGUCUACGAUGUCUAGGGGUUCUGAGAGGAAGGUCCCCCACACUGGAACUGAGACACGGUCCAGACUACUACGGGAGGCAGCAGUGAGGAAUAUUGGUCAAUGGUCGGAAGACUGAACCAGCCAAGUAGCGUGAAGGAUGAAGGUUCUAUGGAUUGUAAACUUCUUUUAUACGGGAAUAAAACACCUUACGUGUAGGGUCUUGUAUGUACCGUAUGAAUAAGCAUCGGCUAACUCCGUGCCAGCAGCCGCGGUAACAC